GCCCCCUGGCAAUGGGCAAAGAGACACCUCCUUGGUGGUGAUCUUCUUUUAUCAGUCAGGGGGAAAGCAGACAGACAGUCCUUUGUUCAUCCUAGCUUGAUGCCUGGGUUGGUGGCCAGAGCUGUUUCAUGCCUGGGGCACAUAA
rnacentral:snoRNA from 1 species